AUGAGUUCUGACCACAAGCCGGUGCAAAGGGAAGGCAUGUAUUUCAUCUCUAUUUUGCAGGAAUGUGGAACAUUCUAAACAAUCUCUGUUAUUUCAAAAAGUUGCCUGAAUCAACCCCAUGUGAAGAAGAAAUCCUCAAUAAACAAUAGAAAGCAUCUGCCAUUUUAUCAGAAGUCACUUCCCAUCCUUGGAACUCACAUCUCAGAAUGACGUAUAAUGUACAUGUGUUUAGUAGAGAGAAGGUCAGUCUGAAACAAGGAAAUGUGUAUUUUAGGAAGAGUAAGUAUAAUCCUAUUACUUUGAAAUAAAAGUAG